ensembl:snRNA U4 U4 spliceosomal RNA
AGCUUUGUGUCGUGGCGAUAUUGUAGCCAAUGAGGCGCGAUUAUUGCUAACUGAAAACUUUUCCCAAUACCCUGCCGUGACGACUUGCAAUGUCUCUACGGAGACUGAAAAAAAAUUAAUUAU